rnacentral:rRNA from 1 species
AGAGUUUGAUCCUGGCUCAGGAUGAACGCUGGCGGCGUGCCUAACACAUGCAAGUCGAACGGAAAUGUUUCGCUGAUGAAGCUUCGGUAGAAUCUUGAAACAUUUUAGUGGCGGACGGGUGAGUAACGCGUGGGCAACCUGCCUUACACUGGGGGAUAACACUUAGAAAUAGGUGCUAAUACCGCAUAAGCGCACAGCUUUGCAUGAAGCAGUGUGAAAAACUCCGGUGGUGUAAGAUGGACCCGCGUCUGAUUAGCUAGUUGGCGAGGUAACGGCUCACCAAGGCGACGAUCAGUAGCCGGCCUGAGAGGGUGAACGGCCACAUUGGGACUGAGACACGGCCCAAACUCCUACGGGAGGCAGCAGUGGGGAAUAUUGCACAAUGGGGGAAACCCUGAUGCAGCGACGCCGCGUGAGUGAAGAAGUAUUUCGGUAUGUAAAGCUCUAUCAGCAGGGAAGAAAAUGACGGUACCUGACUAAGAAGCCCCGGCUAACUACGUGCCAGCAGCCGCGGUAAUACGUAGGGGGCAAGCGUUAUCCGGAUUUACUGGGUGUAAAGGGAGCGUAGACGGCAGGGCAAGUCUGAAGUGAAAGCCCGGGGCUCAACCCCGGGACUGCUUUGGAAACUGUCCGGCUAGAGUGCAGGAGAGGUAAGUGGAAUUCCAAGUGUAGCAGUGAAAUGCGUAGAUAUUUGGAAGAACACCAAUGGCGAAGGCAGCCCCCUGGGAUGCGACUGACGCUCAUGCACGAAAGCGUGGGGAGCAAACAGGACUAGAUACCCUGGUAGUCCGCGCCCUAAACGAUGUCUACUGGUUGUUGGGGAUUAAUAUCCUUGGUAACGAAGCUAACGCGUGAAGUAGACCGCCUGGGGAGUACGGUCGCAAGAUUAAAACUCAAAGGAAUUGACGGGGGCCCGCACAAGCAGUGGAGUAUGUGGUUUAAUUCGAAGCAACGCGAAGAACCUUACCAGGUCUUGACAUCCCUCUGACCGUCCUAGAGAUAGGAUUUUCCUUCGGGACAGAGGUGACAGGUGGUGCAUGGUUGUCGUCAGCUCGUGUCGUGAGAUGUUGGGUUAAGUCCCGCAACGAGCGCAACCCCUAUCUUUAGUAGCCAGCAUUUCGGAUGGGCACUCUAGAGAGACUGCCCGGGAUAACCGGGAGGAAGGUGGGGAUGACGUCAAAUCAUCAUGCCCCUUAUGACCAGGGCUACACACGUGCUACAAUGGCGUAAACAAAGGGAAGCGAAGCCGUGAGGUGGAGCGAAUCCCAAAAAUAACGUCUCAGUUCGGAUUGUAGUCUGCAACUCGACUACAUGAAGCUGGAAUCGCUAGUAAUCGCGAAUCAGAAUGUCGCGGUGAAUACGUUCCCGGGUCUUGCACUCACCGCCCGU